CCUACGGGAGGCAGCAGUGGGGAAUUUUGGACAAUGGGCGCAAGCCUGAUCCAGCAAUGCCGCGUGAGUGAAGAAGGCCUUCGGGUUGUAAAGCUCUUUUGUCAGGGAAGAAACGGUGGGGGCUAAUAUCCCCUGCUAAUGACGGUACCUGAAGAAUAAGCACCGGCUAACUACGUGCCAGCAGCCGCGGUAAUACGUAGGGUGCAAGCGUUAAUCGGAAUUACUGGGCGUAAAGCGUGCGCAGGCGGUUUUGUAAGUUUGUCGUGAAAUCCCCGGGCUCAACCUGGGAAUGGCGAUGAAGACUGCAAGGCUAGAAUCUGGCAGAGGGGGGUAGAAUUCCACGUGUAGCAGUGAAAUGCGUAGAGAUGUGGAGGAACACCGAUGGCGAAGGCAGCCCCCUGGGUCAAGAUUGACGCUCAUGCACGAAAGCGUGGGGAGCAAACAGGAUUAGAUACCCUGGUAGUCCACGCCCUAAACGAUGUCUACUAGUUGUCGGGUUUUAAUUAACUUGGUAACGCAGCUAACGCGUGAAGUAGACCGCCUGGGGAGUACGGUCGCAAGNUUGAAACUUAAGGAAUUGACGG
rnacentral:rRNA from 1 species